AAGGCCUUAAGUUAAACACAAACUAAUAACCUUCAAAGCUAUAAAUAAAGGGUCCCCUUUAGGCCUUG
rnacentral:tRNA from 1 species